GGGUUGUGAGGUUAAGCGACUAAGCGUACACGGUGGAUGCCCUGGCAGUCAGAGGCGAUGAAGGGCGUGCUAAUCUGCGAUAAGCGCCGGUAAGGUGAUAUGAACCGUUAUAACCGGCGAUACCCGAAUGGGGAAACCCAGUGUGACUCGUCACACUAUCAUUAACUGAAUCCAUAGGUUAAUGAGGCGAACCGGGGGAACUGAAACAUCUAAGUACCCCGAGGAAAAGAAAUCAACCGAGAUUCCCCCAGUAGCGGCGAGCGAACGGGGAGGAGCCCAGAGCCUGAAUCAGCAUAUGUGUUAGUGGAAGCGUCUGGAAAGGCGCGCGAUACAGGGUGACAGCCCCGUACACAAAAGCGCAUGUGCUGUGAGCUCGAUGAGUAGGGCGGGACACGUGGUAUCCUGUCUGAAUAUGGGGGGACCAUCCUCCAAGGCUAAAUACUCCUGACUGACCGAUAGUGAACCAGUACCGUGAGGGAAAGGCGAAAAGAACCCCGGCGAGGGGAGUGAAAAAGAACCUGAAACCGUGUACGUACAAGCAGUGGGAGCACCCUUUGGGGUGUGACUGCGUACCUUUUGUAUAAUGGGUCAGCGACUUAUAUUCUGUAGCAAGGUU
rnacentral:rRNA from 1 species